AUGGAGACUUUUGAAAUUCACACCCUCUCCUUUCUAAGGCACUUAACUUAUGUUACCAUGUAUUAUAAAUUGAAUUCUACAAAGUACCUUUUAGAUUGCCUUUCACAAAUGUUACUGCUCUCAAUGCUGGUUGCAAGUGGGCCUAUGGGUGCUCAUACCUGCUCAAUAUCAGAAGACUUUGAAGAGGGUGAGAUAAUCUGGACCUGUAAUUUCAUCAGUAAGGAAACUUCCAAGGAGACUACCCAAAGCAUUCCCAGAAAGCAUCUGAACUUGUGUUUCCAGUUAAGAGAGAAAUCAGUAUUUCACUUGGAAAGAAAGCCUGGAGGAAUGGACCCACAAGAUGCUCAGAAGGCAGAGAAAUCCAGGGUGAAACCAGUGGGUGGCUGUCACAGCUGAUCGUGAAUGUUCAUCUUCAGCAGCUUUAAGAUUCCAGCUAGGAAGAGCAAUCACCUAAGUCACCAGCUUUCUCCUAAGCGAGAGAGGCAAGACCAGACCCAGCUGGCCUCAUUCCCAGACCUCUGCUCCGUCCAGCAAACCUCCUUUUACUCUCUGGUGAGAUGAUUAUGGCACAUAAUAAAGUGUAAAAUCCACUAACUUAGCUUUGUGUU
rnacentral:lncRNA from 1 species